rnacentral:rRNA from 1 species
GGAAUUUUGCGCAAUGGGGGCAACCCUGACGCAGCAACGCCGCGUGGAUGAUGAAGGCCUUCGGGUUGUAAAAUCCUGUUGGGUGGGAAGAAUGAGGCGGCGGCUAAUAUCCGACGCUUUUGACGGUACCAUCCGAGAAAGCCCCGGCUAACCCCGUGCCAGCAGCCGCGGUAAUACGGGGGGGGCGAGCGUUAUUCGGAAUUACUGGGCGUAAAGCGCACGUAGGCGGCGACGUAAGUCUUGUGUGAAAUCCAACGGCUCAACCGUUGAAUGGCAUUUGAAACUGCGUUGCUUGAGUCCGGGAGAGGAUGGUGGAAUUCCCAGUGUAGCGGUGAAAUGCGUAGAUAUUGGGAGGAACACCGGUGGCGAAGGCGGCCAUCUGGACCGGCACUGACGCUGAGGUGCGAAAGCUAGGGUAGCAAAC